rnacentral:rRNA from 1 species
CCUACGGGAGGCUGCAGUGAGGAAUAUUGGUCAAUGGGCGCGAGCCUGAACCAGCCAAGUAGCGUGCAGGAUGACUGCCCUACGGGUUGUAAACUUCUUUUUUAAAGGAAUAAAGUGAGGCAUGUGUGCCUUUUUGCAUGUACUUUAUGAAUAAGGAUCGGCUAACUCCGUGCCAGCAGCCGCGGUAAUACGGAGGAUCCGAGCGUUAUCCGGAUUUAUUGGGUUUAAAGGGAGCGUAGACGGGUUGUUACGUCAGUUGUGAAAGUUUGCGGAUCAACCGUAAAAUUGCAAUUGAUACUGGCAGUCUUGAGUACAGUAGAGGUAGGCGGAAUUCGUGGUGUAGCGGUGAAAUGCGUAGAUAUCACGAAGAACUCCGAUUGCGAAGGCAGCUUACUAAGCUGCCACUGACGUUGAGGCUCGAAAGUGUGGGUAUCAAACAGGAUUAGAUACCCUGGUAGUC